GCCCGGGUGGUGAAAAGGGAGACACGAUCGCCUUAAAAGCGAUUGCCGUAUGACGGCGUGCGGGUUCGAGUCCCGUUCCGGGUA
rnacentral:tRNA from 1 species